rnacentral:lncRNA from 1 species
UGAACUGUUCCCCGGCGUGGAGUGGAAGCCGGAGAAGACGCAGCCAUGAACGCUUCACCCGAGUCGGGAGAGCGCGCAGAGGGGACCCGCAGGUGGCGAAGCCUAACUGCCCAAGGCAAGUGGGGCUCGAGAGGACCUACAGACACCCUGGACGUGCGGAGGGGAGAAGGCUCCCUAGGCCCCAGAGCUCGUUGGCUCGAGGAGAGGGGCCUUUCGCUCCUGGAGGUAGCCAGUUAUCCGAGCUUCCCGCCCAGGGCCGUCUGCUUCGAGAUGCCCUGCCUGGCCUGUGUAGACGAUGAAAACUGCACAGGGGCCAGAUAGAGGCGGAAAGCGACACCGAGAAUCCAUUCCAAACGAGCAGCCAAGAGGAGACGAGGCAGCUCCCAGAUGUUGAUGCUUUGUUUUUUGACAUAAAUCUUUGCACUCAUGUGGGAGUUUUCAUUGAUUCAUGUUCCCAUCUGCUGAAUUUCCUUUUAUUUAUUUAAUAUGGCUUUUUGGGGAAAUCUUGCUCCGAAGCUCUGGAGGGGCAUAAACCGUGGCAACCGCUGCACCCCUCCUCCCUCCUGCCAACCUCGGCUGGGGGAGGGGGGUCGGUGGUGUCCAGAGGGGAGCGCGGCUC